GCAAUGGCCCACUGAAGUUUACAAGGACUAUUUUACACUUUCUGGACAUCUUAAGAAAUUUCUAAGAAAAUUCGAGGGAUCAGCAACAUUGACUAUGAAAAGAAACAAACUAGAAUUCUCUUCAGAGAAGAUAUAAAACUGUCUCCUAUCUCCAUCAAAAUUUUACUGCUCCUACUCUAGAGUUCUUCUGAAAACUUUUCAGUAAAGAUUAGCCACAAUCCUUAAAAUCUUCUGGAGAAGGUGACAAGAUACAGGUGGGAAUAACAUGCUGAGUCCCAAAUGAAAACAUGAAAAUGAAUUCUUUCUCAGCAAUGGGAAAUAAGAUGAUGUAAGUGUCCUCUUUCUUUUUGACAACUUAGAAUGUACACAGGAUUUUUAAAAGUGAUUCUCUAAAGGAAAAAA